UGGUGGAGUGAUUUGUCUGGUUAAUUCCGUUAACGAACGAGACCUCAUCCUACUAAUUAGGUCCCCGGAAUCCUUGGAUUCCGACGGGCUUCUUAGGGGUACUAUUGGUUUUAAAUCAAUGGAAGUUUGAGGCAAUAACA
rnacentral:rRNA from 1 species